CCACUGCGUGGUGCAGGCACCCUCGACUUGUCGGGGUGGUUUGCACCAGGCGGACGCGGGGGGGACAUAUUUCACAGCGUGUCCCGGGCCCGACCCCGCACUUUUCUCCUGUUCCUACUCCUACUAACAGUAGGGGUAGGGAUCUUUUUGCUCCCUGCUCGGUAAGCAGGGGGCCUAAA
rfam:Hepatitis C virus isolate QC176, complete genome